rnacentral:rRNA from 1 species
UACGGAGGAUCCGAGCGUUAUCCGGAUUUAUUGGGUUUAAAGGGUGCGUAGGCGGCCUGUUAAGUCAGGGGUGAAAGACGGUAGCUUAACUAUCGCAGUGCCUUUGAUACUGACGGGCUUGAAUGUACUUGAGGUAGGCGGAAUGUGACAAGUAGCGGUGAAAUGCAUAGAUAUGUCACAGAACACCAAUUGCGAAGGCAGCUUACUAAAGUAUGAUUGACGCUGAGGCACGAAAGCGUGGGGAUCAAACAGG